rnacentral:misc_RNA from 1 species
AACCUAGCACACCUGCGGUGUGUACCUGCGGAAGGAUCAUUACUAUAACCCUCGGUCGUCGGUUGAACCGUUAAGGAUCUCCGGCGCCGAAGGACUCGCGGUCUAAUCCUGUGCCAGUAAGGCGCGCGUUCCGCGCCCGAACCACAGCUCACACAGCCAAAAACUUCGUGAGAAGCGGCUUCACGGCCGCCGGGAUUAGAUGUCUGCACCCUCUGUUUACGUGUACCUUUGUUGUUUCCU